CUAUGGUGAGCGAGGCCGCGAUGGCGCUGGCGAUGCCGCUCGGCUGCUGGUGAGUGAUUCUUGCCAGAUCGUCUGGGAGUACUGAUCUUCGCCGAGCACCUCAAGAUGAGAGGGGGCAGAUUUCUCAACUCUCUGCGGCAGCUAGCCAGGCAGCCAGUGAGCAACACGCCUUUGAUUCGCAACGCAUUCGAGCUGGGGCACUGCGUUUUCAAGCCGAUCAAGCAUGUAUGUCACCGCUGUCCAAGGAGAAGCAGUACUUUUUGAUCGGGCUCUCGUCGUCGAUGAAGCAGCAGCACGCUGCUGCCACGAAGAACUUGCUGACUUUCACACACAUCAAGAACAGCAGCUCGGCCGCUGCUAUGGUGCAAGAACCUCUGGAAGAUAUCCGGUGGAGGACAAUGUGGUUCCUCCUGCACUGGAAACAUCUUCUCCAGCAGAGCAAGUUUGUGAUGCUGGGAUUUUACUGGGGCGUGUGUUUCGGCAAGCCGAAUGAUGUUGGGUCGAAGAUUUGGAAUUCCUUUUGGGUAAGUUCGUAUGUUUUUUGAGUCCGAUCAUUGAUGGUUCUAGCCAUCGGAGAACCGGAUAAUUGAAGCUGAGGUGAGUAUCGACAUAAACAAGCACAGGAACCCAGAGAAUUUCUCCGACCAGUUUGCGAGGCUGGCCGUGAUGGCUCUAAGAUUUCCCACCGACUUGCUCUUUCGGGUGAUGCUGAACAACCAUUUCUAAAGUUUCAUAUAAGUUUGACAUCUAAAGCACAACGUUACAUAUGUUGAGCGGCAAUGCUAGAAACCAUCUCUGGUGUUCUCGGAAUGGUUGGGGGGAUGGUUAGUCUCUGAGGCGAGUAGAGCACAGUGGAGGGUGGAUCAAGGCUUUUAUGGAAGAAGCAGAAAACAAACAAAUGCAUGACAUUCAUGGAGCUGUCCAAACCAUCGUGGCAGGAAGGGGCCCUAGUUUUUACUGCUUAAGGGAUGUUUAUGAAGCAAUCAGGACUUAGAUAAUUUGGCGAGGAAAAAGAAAAGGAGCUAGAACAGUAGGAACACAGACCCAAUAUAAACCCCGAAUUUUUGUUAAUAUUAUAAGUACUUAGAGGUAA